rnacentral:tRNA from 1 species
GCCUGGCUGGCUCGGUGGUUAGAGCACGUGACUCUUGAUCCUGGGGUCGUGAGUUCGAGCCCCAUGUUAGGUG